rnacentral:rRNA from 1 species
GUGAACCUGCGGAAGGAUCAUUAUUGAAUAACUAUGGUGGGUUGUUGCUGGCUUCUUGAAGCAUGUGCACACCUGCUGUCUUUAUCUAUCCCACUGUGCACCACUUGUAGUCUUGGAAGGGGUAGAGCAGUCAACUCUCCCUAGUGUGAGUUUUGUGUCUCCCUUCCAGUUCUAUGUCUUUUCCACAGACGUUGUAGCAUGUCAUAGAAUGUAAUCAAAGGACCUUUGUGUCUAUAGAACUUUAUACAACUUUCAGCAACGGAUCUCUUGGCUCUCGCAUCGAUGAAGAACGCAGCGAAAUGCGAUAAGUAAUGUGAAUUGCAGAAUUCAGUGAAUCAUCGAAUCUUUGAACGCACCUUGCGCUUCUUGGCAUUCCGAGGAGCAUGCCUGUUUGAGUGUCAUUAAAUUCUCAAUCCCCUUCCAGUUCUUUGUAAGCUGGUUGUGGUUUGGAUAUUGGGGGCUUCUGCAGGCCUUGUUAUGUUGAGGUCAGCUCCCCUGAAAUACAUUAGCAGAACUGUUUGCGGUCUGUCACUGGUGUGAUAAUUAUCUGCACCAAGGACUGCUUUCUGUCUUGUUCAGCUUCUAACCGUCUUUUUGGGACAACUAUUGAACAUUUGACCUCAAAUCAGGUAGGACUACCCG